rnacentral:tRNA from 1 species
GCCUUCGUGGUGUAAUGGUCAGCAUGCUCGACGCGUAACCGAGAGGUCCGUGGUUCGAUUCCUGGCGAAGGCG